GACGGACGAAAAGUGCUAAACUUUGGCUCUCUUGAGCAGGAGGGAGACUGGAUUUCUCUUUUUAGCUUAGAUGAGCCAACAAAAGUUGUGGCAAUUGGACGGCUUCAAUCCCUUGAUCCUUCUACAAUAGUUGGAGGCCAACCACUAGGUUCGAAUUGGUGUGAAGUGCUAGUUCAAGUUGUGGUUGAACGUGAUGAGCAUUUGAUUAGGCCUUAUGUGCCUUUGCAGACAAUUGCUGAUUCAAUUGGUGCUCCUAUAGCUUGGCCAACAAAACUAGUAAAAAUUUGCGAAGAUUGAUGUGCUGAAAUUCAAAAGUGGACAAGGUGUUGCAGCAUAUGGAUACUUAUCCACUUAUAUGGAAGUGCUCUAACUGUAAAAGGACAAAGUGUU